rfam:Myotis davidii contig10764, whole genome shotgun sequence.
UGUGACGGCCAUACCACCCUGAAGGAGCCCGAUUCUGUCUGAUCUCGGAAGCUAAGCAGGGUCAGACAUGGUUAGUACUUGGAUGGGAGGGGCAUUUAUUUUAACAG